rnacentral:sRNA from 1 species
UCCGUAGGUGAACCUGCGGAGGGAUCAUUACAGAGUUGCAAAACUCCCAACCAUUGUGAACGUUACCUGUACCGUUGCUUCGGCGGGCGGCUCCCUCGGGGGCCGCAACCCUUACGGGUGCCCGCCGGAGGACAUCAACUCUUUGUUUUUUAGGCCUCUCUGAGUAAUCAUACAAAUAAGUUAAAACUUUCAACAACGGAUCUCUUGGUUCUGGCAUCGAUGAAGAACGCAGCGAAAUGCGAUAAGUAAUGUGAAUUGCAGAAUUCAGUGAAUCAUCGAAUCUUUGAACGCACAUUGCGCCCGCUAGUAUUCUGGCGGGCAUGCCUGUUCGAGCGUCAUUUCAACCAUCAAGCCCCAGGCUUGCGUUGGGUCCCUGCGGCUGUCCGCAGGCCCUGAAAUACAGUGGCGGGCUCGCUAGUCACUCCGAGCGCAGUAAUACAUCUCGCUCAGGGCGUGCGGCGGGUGCCGGCCGUGAAACAACCCCUUCUAAAGUUUGACCUCGGAUCAGGUAGGAAUACCCGCUGAACUUAAGCAUAUCAAUAAGCGGAGGAAAAGAAACCAACAGGGAUUGCCCUAGUAACGGCGAGUGAAGCGGCAACAGCUCAAAUUCGAAAUCUGGCUUCGGCCCGAGUUGUAAUUUGUAGAGGAAGCUUUUGGUGAGGCACUUUCUGAGUCCCCUGGAACGGGGCGCCAUAGAGGGUGAGAGCCCCGUAUAGUUAGACGCCGAUCCUCUGUAAAGCUCCUUCGACGAGUCGAGUAGUUUGGGAAUGCUGCUCAAAAUGGGAGGUAAAUUUCUUCUAAAGCUAAAUAUUGGCCAGAGACCGAUAGCGCACAAGUAGAGUGAUCGAAAGAUGAAAAGCACUUUGAAAAGAGGGUUAAACAGCACGUGAAAUUGUUGAAAGGGAAACGCUUGAAGU